GGAGAAGUGGAAAAAUCCGAAAUUUGAAUCACAAUUCUUUCAAUAAUAUUUGUAAUAACUAUCAACUGUGUUAUACUUACGAUACACUAAACAAUUAACAUUUAUUGCACCGAAGUUUGAGUACCCUCAUUGUCCAAAUGAUUAGGCACCAAAGUUUGAGAACCCUCCCCAUUGACCAAAUGAUCAGGUACCAAAGUUUGAGUACCCUCCCCAUUGUCCAAAUGAUGAGGCACCAAAGUUUGAGUACUCUCCCAAUUGUCCAAAUCAGGUAGGUCAGGACUAACAGAAAACUUGAUCCAUUUCUUUUUCUCCACAAAUUUG
rnacentral:lncRNA from 1 species